AACGAACGCUGGCGGCAUGCCUAACACAUGCAAGUCGAACGAGACCUUCGGGUCUAGUGGCGCACGGGUGCGUAACGCGUGGGAACCUGCCCUUAGGUUCGGAAUAACUCCCCGAAAGGGGUGCUAAUACCGGAUAAUGUCUUCGGACCAAAGAUUUAUCGCCUUUGGAUGGGCCCGCGUUGGAUUAGCUAGUUGGUAGGGUAAAAGCCUACCAAGGCGACGAUACAUAGCUGGUCUGAGAGGAUGAUCAGCCACACUGGGACUGAGACACGGCCCAGACUACUACGGGAGGCAGCAGUGGGGAAUAUUGGACAGUGGGCGAAAGCCUGAUCCAGCAAUGCCGCGUGAGUGAUGAAGGCCUUAGGGUUGUAAAGCUCUUUUACCCGGGAUGAUAAUGACAGUACCGGGAGAAUAAGCUCCGGCUAACUCCGUG
rnacentral:rRNA from 1 species